UCAUUAGAGUCCCGUGUAACACCUGAAAGCCUUGCACACCUGAAGCUGUUUUAUUUAAUGCAGCUGUGGGCAAUUAGCAAGAAGGUCUCUUAAGGAGGAACUUUGCCUUAGGCAGUGGUAGUUGUUAGCAUCGGUGCUGAGCUGGGCUGCACGUGUCCACAAACAUUGGAAUAAGCCUUUCUAAGGGAGGAAAGUAAGAUAAAGAUCAGGUGAACUGUCCAAAUCACACAGACAUUUACCCUGGCGCUGGCAAACUCUGAACACUUUUGACCUUGGUCCUACACGAGUGAUGCAGCAGGGGAGUAACUCAACCUCUCCCACUGAAGUGGGAUUUGUCAUCCAAGAUGUCACAGGGACUGACUUUGGUUCGUGGUGGGAACCUCACCAAGUUUUGCCUGCCAGGAAAUCUGUACCCGUUCUGCAGAUCUGGAUGUGACUCUUUGAUAGGUACUUGGAGCUGAGUUUUGUUGUGGGUCUCCUCCCACACGUGGCAAUGAAUGACAGAAAUUAAGAGACUGUUCUUCUUUAAGAGCCAGAUCUCACACCCCAGAGGGCAGGAUGCCAUUUUAAAGUCAGUUAUGCUAAAGGUCUUGCAACUUAUCCAGAAUAUUAAGCUUCUGUGAUGUGGAACAUGGAAGUGACAGCAGAAAUGCAUCUCUGAUUUUUUUGAUACACCAAGUAUCCAGCUUCAAUCAGCAGAAACAAGUCCAGCAGUGCUCUCCCUGUUCUGUGCUUGUCAGUCUUCCCUGAUGGAAGUGAAGAGCUUAACUGGGACUUUCCUCUUUUGCUGAUUGUAAGCCUCUCUGACUUCAGGAGAGCCACAUCCACACCUCUCGCUGGGAAGCUGCUGGGUUUUUCCUGUCUGGUGGCACUCAACAUGUGUCCCCGUGUCUUCACAAGAGGUGAAGGGGAGUGCAAUAAUCUGAUAGAAAACUGACGCUUUUGUAAAGAGUUUUGUUUCUGCAGUAUUAGAUUAACCAGAUAAGGCUACUGGAGGGCAGCCAACAGUGAUACUUGGAGAGCAGCAUGGAUGACUCUUAAAGCUUUUGGAUGGUUGGCUCCAAGCAAGCAGUGAGUCUGAUCCAUCGUGAGUUUAGCCAUGUUGGCAGCCAGGACAGCAACAGCUGAAGAAAAUGCAAGCACAAGCAUUUUCUGCUCAGUAAAGGACUAGGACAUCAGAAUGAGUCCUCAGCACUGAUUCUUGCAAGGAAAAACACCUGCUUUUGUUGUGCUUUCUGGGACAAUUCCUGCGAUAAUGAUGGUGUAACAGAAAUAAUCAUUCCAAGUUUGAAAACACAUCUCAAGCAUGGGCUGAAGCAGCUCCUGUGUUUGCCUGGGGUUUGAGGAGCACAAAGUCCCACUGUCACUUGCCAAACUUGCCAAACCAGCUGUUAACUGUGCCUGUGGAUGGAGCAGGAGCUUCUGAGGGUACACUGGCCAGUCUGGGAGUUUAACGGGACAUUGCAGCCCCUAUUCCAGGCACAGCUAGCAAUUGCUCUGGGCAAAAUGUGUGACUGUGCUGGACAUUUCUCCCCGUCAGGGGUGGAUUCCUCCUGCCAGCUACAGCUGUGGCUGGGCAGAAGCUUGCAGGGAGCCCUGAUGGUCCCAUAACCUGCUGCAGAAGAGGGAUGGGUGAAACCUCCAGAAAUGCAUCUUCACAGGCUGAAAAACACUCUGUUCUCCUUGGACUUGACCCAGUCUGGAAAAUUCCCCACUUUUCAUCCCACCCUGCACUCGUGCCAGGAGCUUAAGCAAUUCUAUAGGGAGUGUUCCUCAGCUGCAGGCUCAGAAGCUCUGGGGGGCUGAGUAGGAAUGAGCAGCCAUGGACAGGAGCCUGGAAAUGUCACAGGAAUAGCAGGAAUUUGAUAAUUAUUCAGGCAUAUGACAUUUUAAAAUACACUGUUAACCUCCACAGUUACAAAGGAAAAGCUGGAAAACAUGGCAGUAGUCUGCUGUAAGGACUCAGAAACCAUGAGACAGAGAAAAAAAUACACCAGAAUUUCACAUUUCCAAAGCAUCCUGUGAUUUUCUGCAUUGAUAUUGUGUUAACACAAAAUGCAGGAUUUUUCCACCAGUGGAGUUUGGGAUCUGGAUGCUGAAGGCUUCCCUGGUUUUUUUGGUCCAGGCUGCAGCUCAGAUCUCAUCAGUAGCUGCAGACUCCCUGCCUUGAGAGCCAUGGGCAGCAAGGAUGCUCACUGACCCCUUGUUCUUGCAGUCCCUGACACACAGGUCUUGCAUGCAUCUAGUGAAUAUUUUGAAAAGAGUUUCCAUGGGCCCAUUAGUGAAAAAAAAUCACAUUUUGUUGAAGGGUCUGGUCUUGAAAUUAUGAGAUCCUUAAGCAUUUUUGCAGUAUAAAUAAUAUAAUAUUUAAAAACUGUCUCUGGAUGAAAAAGUUUUCACAAUGGUUUAAAUUUCAUGCAGAAAAUGUAUUCUAUAACAUUCAGAGCACAUUAAAUGGGAGUAUUUUGUUUGUGCUUUCUUGUAUUCAGUGCAGACCCAAAGAAUAUUUCCUCAGUGAUAGAUGUGGAAGCAUUUUGCUUAAAGAUGAAAAAUAAAUUUACAAAUUUUAAUUUUCUAAUGAAAUGUAUUACAAGCAAUUUAUCUGUGAGUCAUUCAGCCAUUUCCUCUUACAAAAUGCUUACAUGAUGAGAAACUUACCCUACCCAGAUUCAAUAGGCUCUUUGUCAUUCCUUCCUAUUUAAGAACUUUCUAUAGCCACAUUAAGAGCUUCCACUGCUGUGUGUUGUUAAAGGCAGAGGCCCCACUGCAUCCCAGAAGACACCACACGGCAUUCCUUUGGGAAUUUCUUUCUUUCCUUAAUAGGUCAACAAUUUUGAUCUGUGCUGGAUGGGAAGAAGACCGGGAAAAGGAGCUCACCAUCCCUAUUUAAAGAAAGUUUAACAGGCUAUUGACAAGCCACCUUUCAUCAGGGAUCACCAGGAGUCUCCGUGCUGUUAGAACACAAAUCCUAUUCCUCUUGCCAAACAGCACCACUCCUUUUCAGAGGUGUUGUGUGAUCCUCAGGCUGAAGUGCCUUUCCCCAGAGCCUCAGGGUGGAUAACAGCAGGUAUCCUGUGCUCAGCGAGGCCCCGCUGUCCUUUGUGGCCAUGAAGGUGAACUUCUGAAGGAUCUGGCCUUAUUUGAGUAAAGCACUGUACCAUAUCCUAUUAAAUUGGCACCCCUGACUGCUUCUGUGAGCUUGGCCCUGUGGAAUUUUCAAUAAAAUGUAAUUAUUUUAUAAGGUGUAUAAAGAGCUUAUUCAAGGCACAUGCUCAUUAAGCUCUUUCAGUCGUCAUUAACAUCAACCCCUAAAGGACAGCAAUGGCAAUAAUGCCCCUUCAGAUGGGGCUGAAGGCUGUGGCAUUUCUUAGGAGAGCACAGCAGAGGGAUUUAACAGCACUGAUCCUGUCUGCCAGCCCUCUGCUAGGGCCAGGAGAACACUCAGAAUUAAAGAUUCUCAUAUUACACUUGGACUAAUCUGGAAGCUUGGCAUUUAAUUGGGAAGAAUCUAAUAUUCCAUAUGGAUUUUAUGGUGAUACAAGAGAAUGAGUGGUCAUUUCAGACCAGGUGAGAGAUGCUUUGCUCAGACUGCAGAACGAGCCACCGCCACUCCAGGGGCUUUGGGGGCCCUUCAGCUGCAGAAGGGCUGGGGGACAGCCCUGCAUGUGCAGGGGUGUGGAAAGGCUUCAC